rnacentral:rRNA from 1 species
GAUGAACGCUGGCGGCGUGCCUAAUACAUGCAAGUCGAGCGAACAGACGAGGAGCUUGCUCCUCUGACGUUAGCGGCGGACGGGUGAGUAACACGUGGAUAACCUACCUAUAAGACUGGGAUAACUUCGGGAAACCGGAGCUAAUACCGGAUAAUAUAUUGAACCGCAUGGUUCAAUAGUGAAAGACGGUUUUGCUGUCACUUAUAGAUGGAUCCGCGCCGCAUUAGCUAGUUGGUAAGGUAACGGCUUACCAAGGCAACGAUGCGUAGCCGACCUGAGAGGGUGAUCGGCCACAUUGGAACGGAGACACGGUCCAGACUCCUACGGGAGGCAGCAGUAGGGAAUCUGCCGCAAUGGGCGAAAGCCUGACGGAGCAACGCCGCGUGAGUGAUGAAGGUCUUCGGAUCGUAAAACUCUGUUAUUAGGGAAGAACAAAUGUGUAAGUAACUAUGCACGUCUUGACGGUACCUAAUCAGAAAGCCACGGCUAACUACGUG